UCCACUAUAGUGCAGUGGUUAAACUGAUCGCAACUGAAAACUUCGGGAGCGUGAGGUCGGAGGUUCGAAUCCUUCUCGUGGCA